GCUGCUUGCUUUUUUAUCAUGGAAAAAAGUAAGUUAAUUGGGUACAGGCAUUUCAAUAAAAUGAAGAUGGCAAGACUAGAGAUGCACAAAAAAUAAUGACAAUGCUGGGACAAAUUAAUCCGGGAUUGAUGAUCAUUAAUGUAGAAGCAAGCUUUUAGAGAUUCUUAACAGUGGAGUGCAACAUGGAGUUCCAUUCCCAGUCUAUACAACCUUACCUUAAUGUCAACAACAAAAGACAAUUAAUUAAUUAAUGCGGAUUGUCGCCGGCCUGAUGAAUGGGAGACGCGAAAGCUUAAACAUGGACAUCGGAACAAAACUGACAAUUAAUUUGGCACUUUAUUUGGCAGCUGCAAAUAAUUGUAUUGUUCAAUAACAACAAAUCAAAAACAGUAACUACACCACUGGGACUGAAGAUCCAAGUAAUUCAUAACCUUACAGAUCAUGCUACAGAGAAAACAAAUUGACAAAUUCUCAACAAAUCUCAGUUAAAAGUGUAAUCAGAUCUACUUAGAAUUUUCUUUUAAUUCCUCUUCCUGUAAACACACAUAAACUUAAAAUAAAACAUCGUGCAGUAUAAGAAAGCACAAAGAUACACACACACACACAUAUAUAUGUAUGUAUGUAUGUAUUUAUAUAUGUAAGAAUCAAAAGAAAUAACAAACACUCGUAAUUAGUGUAAAAUUAUCAUUUGCAUUAACUAUAUAUAGAAAGGAAAACAGUUCAAUAUAUUGUAAAGUUGGAAGAAAUAGCGACAUAAUUAUCCUCAUAACUAAUAACAUGAAAAUUGAAGUUCUCAUGUAUACAUACAUACUGUAUUUAAUUGUUGAUGAUCAGAUUCUUCACAUGGACAUGGUGAAUGGCUGAUGAUGAAAACUUGUUGCAGCUCUUCCUAGCUUCUUUAGAUUCUAAAGAAGUUGAACGAAGGAUAUUAUUGUUAAACCAGAAGAAGGGUAGUUUAUGAUGAAAAAUCUAAAUAUGAAAUUGAGUAAAAAGCUAUGACUACAAUUGCCUGGCUCCAUCCUGUCUGCCUUUCUUUUUCUAUCUGUGAAGGAAUGUUGUUCAGGGAGAAAGAGUUACAUUGUUUUCAUCACUACCCCUUAUAAUUCAGUACUUAUCUACCCAAAAUGACCUUUUGAGUACACAAGUAAAUGCCAAGUCCCCGGUAAGGGUAGUUUGGCCAUUGCAUCUUACAAGUAAAAUGGGUGGUUGAGAAAGAUGAGAAGUGCUUGUCCUCUAAGGCAAACCCCACCAACAAAUCCUUUCUCUUUAUUAAUUAAUUCCUCUCCCUCAAAUUUGAGAGAGAAACUAUGAGAGAGGAGGAAGAAGAAUA
rnacentral:lncRNA from 1 species